rnacentral:rRNA from 1 species
UACGUAGGGCGCAAGCGUUGUCCGGAAUUAUUGGGCGUAAAGAGCUCGUAGGCGGUCUGUCACGUCUGCCGUGAAAACCCGAGGCUUAACCUCGUGGCUUGCGGUGGAUACGGGCAGACUAGAGGUGAGGUAGGGGAGAACGGAAUUCCCGGUGUAGCGGUGAAAUGCGCAGAUAUCGGGAGGAACACCGGUGGCGAAGGCGGUUCUCUGGGCCUUACCUGACGCUGAGGAGCGAAAGCAUGGGGAGCGAACAGG